UUUGAGAGUUUGAUCCUAGCUCAGAAUGAACGCUAGCGACAGGCAUAACACAUGCAAGUCUAACUGGUUUAGCAAUAAAUCGGUGGCAAACGGGUGAGUAAUGUGCAGAAAUCUACCUUACAAUAAGGAAUAUGUAUCGGAAACGGUAAGUAAUACCUUAUACUCCCUGAGGGGGAAAGAUUUAUCGUUGUAAGAUGAGUCUGCAUAGGAUUAGCUAGUUGGUGAGGUAAAGGCUUACCAAGGCAAUGAUCUUUAGCCGACCUGAGAGGGUGAUCGGCCACAUUGGGACUGAGACACGGCCCAGACUCCUACGGGAGGCAGCAGUGGGGAAUAUUGGACAAUGGGCGCAAGCCUGAUCCAGCUAUGUCGCGUGAACGAUGAAGGUCUUAUGGAUUGUAAAGUUCUUUCGGUAGGGAUGAUAAUGACAGUACCUACAUAAGAAGCCCCGGCUAACUCCGUGCCAGCAGCCGCGGUAAUACGGAGGGGGCUAGCGUUAUUCGGAAUGAUUGGGCGUAAAGGACGCGUAGGCGGUCUUGUUAGUCUUUAGUGAAAUCCCCGAGCUUAACUUGGGAAUUGCUUAGGAUACUGCAGGACUAGAGUAUGGGAGAGGUAAGUGGAAUCUUUGGUGUAGAGGUGAAAUUCUUAGAUAUCAGAGAGAACGUCAGUGGCGAAAGCGACUUACUGGAACAUAACUGACGCUGAGGCGUGAAAGCGUGGGGAGCAAAAGGGAUUAGAUACCCCUGUAGUCCACGCAGUAAACGAUGAGUACUAGGAGGUGGUUGUGCCACUUCCGCAGCUAACGCAUUAAGUACUCCGCCUGAGGAUUACGGUCGCAAGAUUAAAACUCAAAGGAAUUGACGGGGACCCGCACAAGCGGUGGAGCAUGUUGUUUAAUUCGAUACUCCGCGAAAAACCUUACCACCUCUUGACAUACUUAUUUUAUUGGUGUGAAAGCAUCAUGUGCUACUUCGGUAGCGGUAAGUACAGGUGUUGCAUGGCUGUCGUCAGCUCGUGUCGUGAGAUGUUGGGUUAAGUCCCGCAACGAGCGCAACCC
rnacentral:rRNA from 1 species